UAUAAAUUUCUAAAAAUAUCUAAAAGAGAAGAUUACACUGUAUAUACACUGAAGAAAUUCUAUUACGAGAUGAACGUUUCCUGUGUAACUAAAAUUGGUUGUCAGGAGGUUGUAAGGGGUUAAUUAAUUAAAGAUAACGAAGAUGGCCGAGGUCACCUUUCGGCAUAAAACCUUGAAAAUGAGAAACAAGCUUGUAUAACUAGUCGUAUCUAAUAUAUUAUCUGCAAAUGAACGGAAUAUUAAAAUUAUUAGCAACAAUAAACGGAAAGAAAAAAAUCAUACAUCCUGUUUGGGAUUAAUUUUGAUAAGCCCAUAGUGAAUUUGUCAGGCCCACAAUGGGGCGGCCAGAUGGUGAGAUACAGCCUGAGAUAGACCACCCUGAAAAAUUCCUGGGGUUUUCCUAUCGCCAAAUUCAUUUCUAGAUCAUCAAAGCUGAUCUGCAAAAUGCUAGAACCGGACUAAAAAAAGGAAUGUGGUUGAAAUGACAAAAGAGCAUCAACAGGAGGAGAUCUUUUUAGAGGUGUUCUUAAGCAGCUAAAAGGAAUCUGAUAAGAGUCUCCCAACACGAGUCUUUUUGUGUCCAUCACAGGCAAAGACCGGUUCUCG